UACGUAGGGUGCGAGCGUUGUCCAGAAUUAUUGGGCGUAAAGAGCUCGUAGGCGGUGUGUCACGUCGGCCGUGAAAACCUGCAGCUUAACUGUGGGCGUGCGGUCGAUACGGGCAUCACUGGAGUUCGGCAGGGGAAGACUGGAAUUCCUGGUGUAGCGGUGGAAUGCGCAGAUAUCAGGAGGAACACCGGUGGCGAAGGCGGGUCUCUGGGCAGUAACUGACGCUGAGGAGCGAAAGCGUGGGGAGCGAACAGG
rnacentral:rRNA from 1 species